AACGAACGCUGGCGGCAUGCCUAACACAUGCAAGUCGAACGAGACCUUCGGGUCUAGUGGCGCACGGGUGCGUAACGCGUGGGAAUCUGCCCUAGGGUGCGGAAUAACUCGGAGAAAUCCGUGCUAAUACCGCAUAAUGUCUUCGGACCAAAGAUUUAUCGCCCUGGGAUGAGCCCGCGUAGGAUUAGCUAGUUGGUGGGUAAAGGCCUACCAAGGCGACGAUCCUUAGCUGGUCUGAGAGGAUGAUCAGCCACACUGGGACUGAGACACGGCCCAGACUCCUACGGGAGGCAGCAGUGGGGAAUAUUGGACAAUGGGCGAAAGCCUGAUCCAGCAAUGCCGCGUGAGUGAUGAAGGCCCUAGGGUUGUAAAGCUCUUUUACCCGGGAUGAUAAUGACAGUACCGGGAGAAUAAGCUCCGGCUAACUCCGUGCCAGCAGCCGCGGU
rnacentral:rRNA from 1 species